GAUGAUUUCUUUGAGCACGAACGAACAUUUCUUUUGGAGUAUCAUAACCGAGUUAAGGAUGCAUCUGCUAAAUCUGAUAGAAUGACAAGAUCCCACAAAAGUGCUGCAGAUGAUUACAAUAGAAUUGGUUCUUCAUUAUAUGCUUUAGGAACUCAGGAUUCUACAGAUAUAUGCAAGUUUUUUCUCAAAGUUUCAGAACUGUUCGAUAAAACAAGAAAAAUAGAAGCACGAGUGUCUGCUGAUGAAGACCUCAAACUUUCUGAUCUUUUAAAAUAUUACUUAAGAGAAUCUCAAGCUGCUAAGGAUCUCCUGUAUCGAAGGUCUAGGUCACUAGUGGAUUAUGAAAAUGCUAAUAAAGCACUGGAUAAAGCAAGAGCAAAAAAUAAAGAUGUUCUACAGGCCGAAACUUCCCAACAAUUAUGUUGUCAGAAAUUUGAAAAAAUAUCUGAGUCUGCAAAACAAGAACUUAUAGAUUUUAAGACAAGAAGAGUUGCUGCAUUCAGAAAAAAUUUAGUGGAACUGGCAGAGUUAGAACUGAAGCAUGCAAAGGGUAAUCUACAGUUGCUGCAGAACUGCCUGGCAGUGUUAAAUGGAGACACAUAAGCCACACUCCGCCUUCCUGUUAAAAAGGGCUGCCUUCCUUCAAAUUUUAUUUUUGUUUUCUUAAUGAUGUUAAGCAUUUAUGCUCACUGGAAACAAACAAAAAGCAGCUGAAAAAGUGCAUCAACUCCUCUUUUUCUGAGAAACAUGGAGCAGCGCACGCCCAGGCGAUGCCAGUCUGUGUGCCGUGAUGCCGCACUGUGUUCCCCAUGACAGUGGUCCAUCAUCGUGCACUCGUCAUACUCAGAAGUCCAAAGUUCAUUCUUCUUUAAAGUAGCCUCUAUAACUCUGUUUAUUUUAUAAAUAGUAUUCCUUAUGGCUGCCACUCUUAUUUACCUUUAAAUAAUUUCUGAAAUUUAACCUUUUCAGAAUGCAUUGUUGAAACAAGAUAAAGAUUGCCUUUUUUGAAUUUUUUAAAUUUUGUUUUUAAAAGCAUAUACCACCUUAGUUCAUUCAUGUAUCCUGGUAAAGCAUCUUAAUCAGACUUAUUUUUAAUUACUGAAUAUUUCUUAGACGUUUUGGGACAGAUUUUAUGUAAUCUUUAUAAGUAUGAUUUCUGAAGAAAAGCAAAUGCAUUAGUAUGUUUGCCUUAAACUUGUAGACUAAACCAAGUAUUGUAAAAUAAACAGCGAUAACAGUGAUAGUUUUUAACUCUAUGGUCAUUGUAUCACUCUGGAAAAUGUGGAGUAGCUGUAAUAAAUCUACUCCUGUAUUAUGCUUU
rnacentral:lncRNA from 1 species